rnacentral:lncRNA from 1 species
AAUGAAUGGAAAUGUCAUAUUACAUCAAUAUCUCAUUUGGCAGAAUAUCACAUGAUUCAAGAUACGUACUCUCAUGUCUGUGAUUAUAAAAAAUGUAAAGUAUUGUUGUUCGGAUCCGAAAAGUCUUUAUGUGAACAUAAAGCUAAUCAUUCAAAAAAGUUUUUAAACACUAGUUUAUCAAUUAUUAUGGCUAAGGUUAUGAACCGUUAUAUUUCAAAAAAAAAACCUAUGUACUAUUGUACUCAUUGUAGACGUUUUGAAGAAAAACCAAUUCACACAACAGCUGAAUUAUUAAAUAUUAAGAAAAAAAACAACACCAUUGAAUAUUAUUGCAAAUAUUGUAGAGUAACAUUUGUUUGUAGCCCUGAAAUAUUAGAUUAUCAUUCAUUAAGUGUAGAACAUAUGACAAUAAAAUGUCUUGAUCAGUUAUUCUCUGAAGCUAAGGUGAAUUCAAAAUAAUUAACUAUCUGUAAAAUCUCUUCCAACUAUAGAAAAUAAAGUAAAAGUUGUGGUAGAAUGUUUUCCCUUGUUUAUUGAUAAAAGAGAAAAAUUUUUCAAAUUGUAUAUUAGUUUGAUAGAGGAUAUGUAUUAUGUUCAAAUAUGAGUGUAAGAAGUGUGUUUAGAGUUAGAGUAGGUAUCAGGCGUCGGCCUUGAUCUCUUGCCUAUACUUUUUUUUGCAAUGGAUGAAGUUACAAAAUAAUACAAGACAAGGUACCAUGGUUGCAGAUGAUAUAGUUUUGAUACAAGAAAACCUAUAAGACGUUAACAAGCUUGAUGAAUGGAGAAUAGUAUAUGAAGGAAAAGAACUAAUGAUAAGUAAAAGUAAAACCGAAUAUAUUAUAGAGUAUGAGUUUGGAGGAACAGGACAAGAUACCUAAUGGUGACAUAAUAGGAGAGGUUGAAAACUUUAAGUACCUAGGAUCUUUUGUUCAAAAAAACAAUGAGAAUUUGAAGUAUAGGAUUAGGUGUGAUUAGAUAAAAUGAAGAGAUUUUUGUACAGUUUACCUUUUAUCCAUCAAUAUUAGCUUGCACUUGAGUAGAAAAAAUAGGACAAAAGCUAUGCAUUCGGUGUGAUGUACAUAAAAAAAAAUUUUAAUUUAAAUGAGAGUUUAAAAGUAAUUUUAAUUAUUAAAAUAAUUUACAGGAACUACCUGUAAAUAUUGUUGGCCAGGAAGAAUCAAACAAAAAUCUGCAAAAUGGUAAUGCUGUAUACAGUAAACAAAAGUACACAGAGUAUUUUAAUCAUAAAUUGAAGUUACUGAAAUUAUUAAAAAUAAAUAAAGAUCCUAUUCUUAGAACAACCUCGUACUAUUGUAAUAUAUGCGAUUUUAUUACUGAAGAAAAAUAUACUUGGGACUUUCAUAAUGAAACAGUACAUGCAGAUAAUAUAAAUAUUUCUAUGGUUUUCUGUACUACAUGUUCUAUGUUUAUUUCGUUCAACAAUUUUGAAGAACACAAUAAUACAAUAGAACACAGUAAUCUCUUAAAAUUUUUACAGUCAUUCAACAGUUUAAGAAAAAAACCAAUUUUGCCUUUGAACAAUACCAAUAGUCAAAAUGAACAGAAAAAAAGAAAUAAAACUACAAAUGUAUUUAUUUAAUUAAUUGAAGUUAGUGUCAUGAUUUUGCUCACCUAAGUAUAUUUUUCUAAUAUUUCAGGUUUUAAUUAACAAUAGUGGUAUUUUCACAUCACCACCUAAUAAUUCACUUACUACAAUUUCAACUAUGUUGUCAGGUGAACCAAAUGUAGAUUUAAAAAUAGGAGAAUUGAAUACAAUGAUACAUGGCGAAACAUCAAAUUGUUGUGCCAAGUUAAAUGAUUCGGUAAUGUACAAUACAUAAGUUUUGAAUACAUUUAUACAGUUAUAUUAAAAUAAUAUAUAUAAUGUGCAUUAAUCAAUUAUAUUUAGGUACAAGUGUAUUCAUUUUAAAUGAGUAUUAACUACGAUAGAGUAGUUUCUAUUUGCAAUUUUUUUUUUUAAGUUUCUGAUGUUUCUAAAAUGUAAUAUAAUUAAUUUUUCUAGUUUUUCUUAAACCCAAAUGAACCUACAGCAGAAGAAAGUGAUAGAAAAUCUAUUUUCGUAUCAAGUCUAUGUCAGAAAAAUGUAGCAGACCUUAAGAGAGUGGAGGUACUUAAUGAAGACAAAAUGUAUGGGGAAUAUGUAACACAAAGACUUAAAUAUAUAGAAAAUCCGACAGUUAAACAACAUAUUAAAUUAGAGAUAGAUAACAUUUUUUUUUCUAGUAUGAAAAAUGAUUUAUUGAAAAGUUCUAAUUGCUAAGUUUAUUCAUCUUGACAGUAUACAAUAAUAUUGUCAUUUUUUUUUUAUUUUUAUCUUCAUUUCUGUUUUAAAUAGUUAACAUAAAAAUAAUGUUUUAAUGGAUG